CAGAGUCUUCAUGUCUCUUAAAGAACUCUUUAGAACAUGAUUAUCGUUUUUUACAUUUUAUUUACAUUUGAGUUUUUAUUUCACCUUUUUGUUUAACCAGGUCGGCCAGUUGACAACAAGUCCUCAUUUACAACUGCGAUAAAGCAAAGCAGUGCGACACAAAACAACCACACGGAGUAAACCAAAAGUUCAGUCAAUAACACAAUAGGAAACAAAUCUAUAAACAGUGUGUGCAAAAGGCAAGCUAUAAUGCAUUACGUCUCAAUAACUCUAAAAAAUAAUUAGGCCCAGUGACAGUACUAAUACUAUGCCAAUACAAACACGUCUGUCAUUAAGUUUACACUGUACUAGAGAACAGAAUCAAUGAUUCAUUGAGGUUUCCACAGUAUACUAAAGAUAAACUAUAUCAUUGUUUUUAUUCCAAUCGUUGUCAAAUGCAGACUAUUUAUGCGUUAGUAGGUGUUCUUGGUUUUUCUCUAGACUCUACGUUGUGCAUGCGUUUGUUACAUCAUCGAAAGCCUGCCGCGCCAUUGGCCGAUCUCGCCGGGGAGAUCAAGGUGACUUUGAUGUGUCAUAUCCAAUCGAGAUUCUGUCCUCUGAGGCUCUGUUCCCAGCGUCUCUAAAGCAGCUCUUUCGAAAUGGUCAUGGGCCAAUAGGGUACACUAUUCCCUACAUAGUGCACUACUUUGGACCAGGACCAUGCCAUUUGAAAUGUUCAUAUGAAAAACAACUCCUCAAUGUUUUAUAAUAAUUAUCAUCAAUAUUCCUUUCUAUAUAUCAAUAGCUCUAUAUAGCUCUAUUUCUAUAGUUCUAUAGCUCUAUAUCUAUAGUUCUAUAUAUCUAUAGUUCUAUAUAUCCAGAUCUAUAGUUCUAUAUCUGUAGUUCUAUAUAUCCAUAGCUCUAUAUCUAUAGGUCUAUAUAUCUAUAUCUAUGGCUCUAUAUAUCUAUAGCUAAAUAUAUCUAUAUCUAUAUAUAGCGCUAUAUAUUUAUAGCUCUAUAUAUCUACAGUAUAUCUAUAGCUCUUUAUCUAUAGCACUAUAUAUAUAUCUCUAUACAUCUAUAGCUCUAUAUAUCUAUAGCUCUAUCUCUGUCUCUCUCUGUCUCUCUCUAUAUGUAUAUAGUUAUAUUGCUCUAUCUAUAUAUCUAUAGCUCUAUAUAUCUAUAGCUCUAUCUCUCUCUCUGUCUCUCUCUAUAUGUAUAUAUAGUUAUAUAGCUCUAUCUAUAUAUCUGUCUCUCUCUCUAUAUAUAUAUAUAUCUGUCUCUCUCUCUGUCUAUAUAUAUAUAUAUAUAUAUAUUUAUAUAGUUAUAUAGUUAUAUAGCUCUAUCUAUAUAUCUGUAUGUAUUGUUUUCUGUACCUUAUUAUAUUGUACAUAUGCAGAUGAUGUGAACAGUGUCUUUAUUGUUUGAUUUAUGGAUGUCUUUACGUUCUACCUCUCCAGUCCCCCUUCCUUCUGUCAAUCAAUAUUGUUGUUGAUUUUAUGUUUAUUAUUGUUAUUAUUCUAUUGUUGUUGUGGAAACAUUCCAGUGAAGGAAUUCCUGUUUAUUUUAAUGUAAAAAUAAUAUAAUUUGAAUGCAGGAAGCAGAAAGGGUUGAACUUUAUACUCUUAACUGUAUACAAGUGGGACCGAUAAUGUUUUCGCUCUGUGAUCUCGUCAUUUAUGACCAAAUACAUGUUUACUACUAUGCCACCAGGAAUUCGUUUCUGAAGAAAAUAGAAUAAACAAUGUGAUUAUCAUUAUAAAUUAAUGUGAUUAUCAUGAUAAAUUAAUGUGAUUAUCAUUAUAAAUUAAUGUGAUUACCAUUAUAAAUCAAUGUGAUUAUCAUUAUAAAUUAAUGUUAUUAUCAUUAUAAAUUAAUGUGAUUAUCAUUAUAAAUUAAUGUGAUUAUCAUUAUAAAUUAAUGUGAAAACAAACAAACAUAUUUUUUGAUUUUUUUAAAUAUUUUUUUUAACUUACAGCAAUUGAGAAAUGUAGCCUAAAAAAUUAUACUUGAAUCUAUUUAGUAAAUAGUAAAUUUAGUGAAUCUAAUUCUUAAAUGCAUUACUGUACUAGUUGGGAAAAAGACUUGUUGUCUUUUGUGGCAGUGCCCAAGGUGGCAGUGCCAGAGGUGGCAGUGCCCAAGGUGGCAGUGCCCAAGGUGGCAGUGCCAGAGGUGGCAGUGCCCAAGGUGGCAGUGCCCAAGGUGGCAGUGCCAGAGGUGGCAGUGCCCAAGGUGGCAGUGCCCAAGGUGGCAGUAGUAACAACCAUCUCUGGAGCUAUGUCUUAAAGUGUGAGAGCCAGCCUGGUUCGGUCCUAUUCUGUAGAGGUGAGGUAGCUAGGGAAGUCCUCCUAUAGGAGACCUAGGACCACCCUGCCAUGACCAGAGAGACAGAGCCUACAUUCCAAAUGGCACCCUAUUCCCUAUAUAGUGCACUCGUCCCCAUAGGCCCUAGUCAAAAGUAGUGCACUCGUCCCCAUAGGCCCUAGUCAAAAGUAGUGCACUCGUCCCCAUAGGCCCUAGUCAAAAGUAGUGCACUGUAAAGGGAAUAGUGUGCCAUUUGGGAUGGAGCUUAUUGAUCUCAAAAUGUUAUUUUAUUCAUGUUGUUUUUUUCCUCAAAACAUUCCAAUCGCUUAACUCGUCUCAAAUUAUGUCAUCAUUGUGAUUACAAAUGGCUGUAGUGAUUGUUGACAAUUGUUAUUGUUUUCUUGAUUUAAUUUUUAAAAAUGUUUUACCCUU